GAGUAACGCGUAUCCAACCUUCCCAUAACUAAGGAAUACCCCGUAGAAAUGCGGCCUAAUCCCUUAUGGUCUCUUAUGCCUGUCAUGGGAAUAAGAGUAAAGAUUUAUCGGUUAUGGAUGGGGAUGCGUCUGAUUAGCUUGCUGGCGGGGUAACGGCCCACCAGGGCAUCGAUCAGUAGGGGUUCUGAGAGGAAGGUCCCCCACAUUGGAACUGAGACACGGUCCAAACUCCUACGGGAGGCAGCAGUGAGGAAUAUUGGUCAAUGGGCGAGAGCCUGAACCAGCCAAGUAGCGUGCAGGAUGACGGCCCUAUGGGUUGUAAACUGCUUUUUAAGGUGAAUAAAGAGGGGCACGCGUGCCCUGUUGCAUGUAGCCUUAGAAUAAGGACCGGCUAAUUCCGUGCCAGCAGCCGCGGUAAUACGGAAGGUCCGGGUGUUAUCCGGAUUUAUUGGGUUUAAAGGGAGCGUAGGCCGCAGGUUAAGUGUGUUGUGAAAAGCAGUCGCCCAACGUCUGCCUUGCAGCGCAAACUGUCCUGCUUGAGUGCGCACAACGCAGGCGGAAUUCGUCGUGUAGCGGUGAAAUGCUUAGAUAUGACGAAGAACUCCGAUUGCGAAGGCAGCUUGCGGGAGCGCAACUGACGCUGAAGCUCGAAAGUGCGGGUAUCGAACAGGAUUAGAUACCCUGGUAGUCCGCACGGUAAACGCUGGAUGCCCGUUUUUGGCUUAUUUUAAGUCAGAGACCAAGCGAAAGCAUUAAGCAUCCCACCUGGGGAGUACGCCGGCAACGGUGAAACUCAAAGGAAUUGACGGA
rnacentral:rRNA from 1 species